AGUCGAGCGGUAGAGAGAAGCUUGCUUCUCUUGAGAGCGGCGGACGGGUGAGUAAUGCCUAGGAAUCUGCCUGGUAGUGGGGGAUAACGUUCGGAAACGGACGCUAAUACCGCAUACGUCCUACGGGAGAAAGCAGGGGACCUUCGGGCCUUGCGCUAUCAGAUGAGCCUAGGUCGGAUUAGCUAGUUGGUGGGGUAAUGGCUCACCAAGGCGACGAUCCGUAACUGGUCUGAGAGGAUGAUCAGUCACACUGGAACUGAGACACGGUCCAGACUCCUACGGGAGGCAGCAGUGGGGAAUAUUGGACAAUGGGCGAAAGCCUGAUCCAGCCAUGCCGCGUGUGUGAAGAAGGUCUUCGGAUUGUAAAGCACUUUAAGUUGGGAGGAAGG
rnacentral:rRNA from 1 species